CCCCAACCCCACACACCCACACUCACUCUCGUCAGGGUUGGGGGAGGCCAGGAUGGCGCUGUGUUUCCGCUUCACCUCCUCCACGUUCUCCGAGAUCUUGUCAAUGAAGCCUCGGAUCUCUUCCACCUGUGGGCCAAGGCGCAGAGUUGGGUCUGGCAGGCACCAGAGGCCAGGCAUGUUGUUAUUUGGCUCGGGGCCUGCCUUGGGUCUCAGCCACAGGUGUCGGCUCGGCCCCUCGGCCCCAGGAGCCACCACACAAAAGCCAGGCCAUCACAAGGUUGGAGCAGGACAAGAUAGAAACUGAAUCUGCUGCUGACUGUGGUCUGAGCAGGGCCAAAGAUCUGACCCACCACCUCCCUCUUUCUACAAAGUCGACCUCUGUUAAUGCAGCCAGAGAUCACAGAAGCCAUCACACAGUUCUUCCUGCCAAGGAAGAAGCCCUUCCCCUCCCUGUUUACUUGGUUGGCUUUUGGGCUCAAAUGAAGGAUCUUCAUUUGUUCUGAUCCUUGUCCCAGUCUGUGAGAAUCUGAUGGUUUAUGCCUUUGUUGCCCCCUCCUACUUUAUUCCCAUCUAUGCCAAGGCCCUGAUUGAUUAGGGCCCCAGCUCCCUUGGGAACCGGCCAACCCUCUCAAAGUGGCAGUCACAGCUCCAGAAAGACGGCUGGACUGGAGUUGGGACCGGAGAGGCUGUGGUGCGGAGGCAGCAGCUGGAGUCGUGAGGCAGUUACAAGCUCCGAGGGUGAAGCGGGCUGGCUCCAUUAUGCAGACAAAUGAGCACAGAGAGGUUAAGGCACCCACCUGCCUGUUCUUGCUCCAAGACCCUCAGUCCCUUCAGAAGUCGGCAGAGGGGGCACUGGGCUUCACCACUCAGGCCUGUCUGCUGCCCCGGAGAGGAUCAGCCCCCGUGAGAGAUGAGGAGGGCUGGAGAAGGCUGGAGGGCUGGGCCCGGCCUGCAGCGCGGAGGAAACAUGCCAGCUCCUUCCCCAAGUGUGACUUUUAUAAAUAAGCUCCCUUCU